GUAAGAGCCUACCAUGGCGACGAUCAGUAGCUGUUCUGAGAGGAAGAUCAGCCACACUGGGACUGAGACACGGCCCAGACUCCUACGGGAGGCAGCAGUGGGGAAUUUUCCGCAAUGGGCGAAAGCCUGACGGAGCAAUACCGCGUGCGGGAGGAAGGCCUUUGGGUCGUAAACCGCUUUUCUUAGGGAAGAAACCUGACGGUACCUAAGGAAUAAGCCUCGGCUAACUCCGUGCCAGCAGCCGCGGUAAUACGGAGGAGGCGAGCGUUAUCCGGAAUUAUUGGGCGUAAAGAGUCCGUAGGUGGUUCAUCAAGUCUGCGGUCAAAGAGUGCAGCUCAACUGCAUAAAGGCCGUGGAAACUGUUGAACUAGAGAACAGUAGGGGUAGAGGGAAUUCCCAGUGUAGCGGUGAAAUGCGUAGAGAUUGGGAAGAACACCGGUGGCGAAAGCGCCCUACUGGGCCAUAACUGACACUGAGGGACGAAAGCUAGGGGAGCGAAAGGGAUUAG
rnacentral:rRNA from 1 species